rnacentral:lncRNA from 1 species
UUUUUGCAGGAUUCAUUGAUUUCAUUGUGGAGCCAACAUUCACUGUGUUGACAGAAAUGAUUGAAAAUAUUGUGACACCACUUAUCGAGGAGACCUCUCGCUCUGAAUUGCCUGUCUUCAGACAGUACAGUUUCAACAGUAUUGGAAGUGACAGAAAGCACUCCAGCAUGAAGAGUACACGCUCAGAAGGCAGCUGCUCUCUGACCACAGUGGACUUCAAAAGUUUCAGGGGUACAUGGAAUCACAAAAUUCAUCAAAACAGGGAGAUAUGGAGGGCCCAAGCAGGAAAAGACCUGGAGGUAAAGGUCACCCAGAUGGCAGAGGAGCGUAGCCAAGAAGACAAAGAGACAAAUGGUGGAAAAGACACAAGCACAACUGUCGACGAAGCCAACAUGGGACAGGGGAAAAUGAAAAAAGAAUCCGUGGGACAAGAGGUGCAGAACAGGAGACAGCAAGAAGAAAGACAGACUAACGAUGAAAGAAACAAUAAUCAGGCUCAGUCUGCAAGCAUUCUGCUGAAAUCAGUCCCUGAUGCCAUAAAGAAGUCACCUGAUGGACACAUGGAGAAGCAGCAAUCCCAGAAUGACCCUCAAACUGUUUUCCCUCUGAUUCAUUAUCGCAAAAGACCAACCUAUUGUACCAGCUCCUACAGACUGAUCAGGGCAAAAGUCAUAGAAAUAUGGCCUAUUGAUGCCAGAACAAAAGCCAGGAGACUGCAACGCUUCUACUCGCGUCAAUGGAAAUAA